rnacentral:rRNA from 1 species
UACGAAGGGUGCAAGCGUUACUCGGAAUUACUGGGCGUAAAGCGUGCGUAGGUGGUUCGUUAAGUCUGAUGUGAAAGCCCUGGGCUCAACCUGGGAAUGGCAUUGGAUACUGGCAGUCUAGAGUGCGGUAGAGGGUAGCGGAAUUCCCGGUGUAGCAGUGAAAUGCGUAGAUAUCGGGAGGAACAUCCGUGGCGAAGGCGGCUACCUGGACCAGCACUGACACUGAGGCACGAAAGCGUGGGGAGCAAACAGG